GACGAACGCUGGCGGCGUGCCUAAUACAUGCAAGUCGAGCGAAGUUUUUCUGGUGCUUGCACCGGAAAAACUUAGCGGCGAACGGGUGAGUAACACGUAAAGAACCUGCCUUAUAGACUGGGACAACUAUUGGAAACGAUAGCUAAUACCGGAUAACAGCAUUAACUGCAUGGUUGAUGUUUGAAAGUUGGUUUUGCUAACACUAUGAGAUGGCUUUGCGGUGCAUUAGCUAGUUGGUGGGGUAAAGGCCUACCAAGGCGACGAUGCAUAGCCGACCUGAGAGGGUGAUCGGCCACACUGGGACUGAGACACGGCCCAGACUCCUACGGGAGGCAGCAGUAGGGAAUCUUCCGCAGUGGGCGAAAGCCUGACGGAGCAACGCCGCGUGAGUGAAGAAGGAUUUCGGUUCGUAAAGCUCUGUUGUUAGGGAAAAAUGAUUGUGUAGUAACUAUACACAGUAGAGACGGUACCUAACCAGAAAGCCACGGCUAACUACGUG
rnacentral:rRNA from 1 species